AAGAGUGAUAAGAAAAAGACACCAAUUACAAAUAUAUGGCAUUUCACUAAAGACCUCACAAAUAUCAAAGAGCAACACCAGAGCGUGUCUGCAACCUACACCACAGCUUGCAGCAACUCUGGAUCCUUAACUCACUGUGUAAGGUCAGGGAUGGAACCUGCAUCCUCACAGAGACAAUGUCAGGUCCUUAACCAGCUAAGCCACAACAGAACUCCUUAAAUUGGUGAACUUUAAAUUAUGCUUCAAUAAAGAUUUACUUUUUAAAGCUGAUGCAAGUGCAGAAACAGCAAGGGAUUACAACUUUUUGUUGUUGUCUUUUUAGGGCCGCACCUGCAGCAUAUGGAAGUUCCCAGGCUAGGGGUCAAAUCAGAGCCACAGCUGUCAGCCUCCACCAGAGCCACAGCAACAUGAGAUCCGAGCUGUGUCUGUGACCUACACCACCGCUCAUAGGAACGCCAGAUCCUUAACCCACUAAGCAGGGCCAGGGAUCAAACCCACGUCCUCAUGGAUCCUAGUCAGGUUCAUUACUGAUGAGCCAUGACGGGAACUUCAGAAUUAGAACAUUUAUCAUAGUGGCUGCCCUCAGUCUCCAGAUCAUUCUUGAUUACUUUUAAUUGUACAGAUGGGCAAUAUUCUUGAGUGCCACCUAUCUUGCUCCCAAGAAUGCUGUUUCAUUAAUGAUCCAGUCAGAACCCAGCUGCCUAAUAUUUCUGCUCAGUACAAUAAUUUAGCCACAUUGAUGCCCGCUUUAGCGCUGUCGUCCCCCUUACUCUGAGCCCAGUUCUGUCAGUGCGGUCCUGCCCACAGAGCAAGGUCAUCUCUGAGUUUCUCAAUGAAACUGGUGCUCGUCUCACCAGCAUAUUCUCACUUCAGUAAAUAGAAUAUCCCUUGGGCCCUCUAAUAGAACAUAAUCAUUUGGUGACUUUUCUGGCUUCACAUAGCAUAUAAAGCCGGCAUAUUCACUCUAACAGGCCCACUUUUUUGAGCCUUUCUUCCAUCACAUACCAAGGCAGUUCUGGCAUUUCUACUUCACUUGAUGUGGACAUGGUUUUCUCCGAGUUUCCAAGAGCCAUCCUGCGAGAAUGUUGGCAGCAUCUCUGGGGGUCCUCAUCUGAAUAAGUCCUGUAUUAGGGGAAGGUGCUCCCAUAGCCAUAUACUCUCCCUAUCCUUUGCGCCCCGGCCCCCUAAUGCAGUACCCUCAGCAUCCUGCCCAGGCCCCUCGCGCCUCCAAGGUAUAGUCUUCCCUCUUGAUGCUCUUACCUGGGUUCUGAUGCACUUAAUCCUAGUUAGUGAUCUGGAGGUCAGGAGUGGGAACGAAUCUUGAAGGGAGCGUGCACUGCCUUGCAAAGCAGAGGCAUCUGCAUCAUCCUGAAGCAAGGAGGAGCGACAGCCUUUAACAGGAAAAAGCAGGCACUUCUGCGGGCCCAAGGGAUGCAGCAGAACUGAGGGAUUCAAGAUUUUUUAAAGCAUCAACCAAGGUGCCCCAUCCCAUGUCUCAGGGUCUCUCUCCAUCCAAAUAAAACUGCCAGAAUUCAAACAAGCUCUGCUGCUCUUGAGUCCUGGGCCUUAUUUUCAGCUUUUUGGGUCCUCUAGAAGCAGGAAGUAAAAGUCUCUACAUAAGCUGCCAAGGAAGGCCUCUGGCUUUCACCGCCUUUAAUUAGUGAUGAAUCACCCUCAGCCUUCACUAUCCUUUUCCAAUGCCCUGAUAGCCUCAGCAGCAGCCGCUCAAUUCCACUGUCUUUAUCACUUCUCAAACCUGAUAUAUUUCCCCCACUAAUGCAUUUCCUUCCACGGGGGUCCCACCCCAGUUCAGCACUAGUGAGAGGUUUAACAACUGAGAUGAGCCCAGUGUGCCAGGGCCACCCAUGCUCUACCUACCACCAGUGAUGAGGUCCUCAUUGCCAGUUGGCCACAAGUGAUUUGCCUUUAAAAUCACCUUUUAGAAUCUGCUUCCUCAGUACUCUUGGCACCAGCUAUUGCCAGGUUGGGUUCCCCGGGAAACAUACCCUGAGGUGGAGAUUUGAGUAAAGGAGGUUUAUUAGGGUGUGCUCGCAGCAUCGCUGACACCUGUGAGAAAGCAAAGGCCACAGGACUGGACAGAAGGGGCGCUGGAGCUGAGGCGACCCUUCAGAGUUGUCCCCAGUAGAGGCAAGGGAAUCAGACCGUUAUACUCCCAUACUGGCCAGUGAACUCAGGCUGUUGCAGGAUAGGGAACUACCUUAGAUGCUUUCUCAGCUGAGGGCAGUUCCUAGAGGGGUCUCAGAAAUGUUAGCCACCAAAAUUCCCUUGGACAGGACGGAAGACCACGGGGUUGAGUGCUUCCAUCCUGAAGAGGGUUUUCUGGAUGGCACACCAUGGCAUCCACCAUGACAUCUUUAAAUAUGAGAAGGGAAAUGUAUUUUGACACCUCUCACCUAGGACAGCUACACACAGCUUCUCCCACACCUGGGUGGUUUGGUGUGUGGGGUCGCACAGUUACUUUAUUGUUGGAAGGGUCGUCAGCUACAAGAAAGAAAAUUGGUGUAUUCCAAAACCAAAGUGACAUUGUGUUAGGAUUUUACUAUAUAUUACUCCUAAGCAUUGCUAUGACCAGUCCUAAUACAUGUGAUCAAGAAUACAUUGUACAGGAGUUCCCGUUGUGGCUCAGCAGAUUAAGAAUUCAACUAUGGAGUUCCCGUCGUCACAGAUGCAGCUCGGAUCUGGCAUUGCUAUGGCUGUGGUGUAGGUCAGCAGCUGUAGCUCCCAUUCGACCCCUAGCCUGGGAACUUAUAUUUGCUGCAGGUGUGGCCCUGAAAAGACAAAAAAAAAAAAAAAAAAA
rnacentral:lncRNA from 9 species